CCCACAUAAGCCUGUGCUCUCCAAGUCAUCCUGACAGAGUCCAUGCUCCCUAGAACCACAGCGAGUCAGUGUUCCUCCUUCCAGUUGUUCUUUCAGAGCAUGGCUAUGGCUGAUCACUACUGACAUCCAGGAGAUACAAACUACUGGGAGGAUUACCACCAGCAGUACCUGAGCAAGAACCCCAAUGGUCACUGAGGAACGCCAGCUGAGGACACUGUGAGAAGUUGGCCAUGUGCAAGCCAGGAAGAGGGCCCUCACCAGGAACAGAAUAAUCUGGCACCUUGAUCUCAGACUUCUAGCCUCUAAAACUGGCUGGCCCUUGAGAUCACAGCAGAAACGCUUUCAACAAACCGGGCAAGUCUUUUGUGGUUCACAUCAGUGGCUUUUCGAAG